rnacentral:tRNA from 1 species
GAGUGUAUAGCUCAGUGGUACAGUGUGUGCUUAGCAGGCACGAGGUCCUGGGUUCAAUCUCCAGCACCUCCG